UGUUGCAAAAUUGGGUCUGACAGCUACCGUAGUUCAGUAAAAAGUAAAAAUUAUACUGAACCUCAGAAGAUUUCAGUCAAAAAGCUGAUAGUUCGGUAUUUUUAUGAUUUACAAUUCGUACCCAGUAUAAAAAAAAUUACCGAACAAGCAAAUCUUGAUUGAGUGUGUACUCCAGUGAGGAUCAAACCCAUGACUUCCUAUUCGCUAGAUGCGCGCUUCAAGCUACAAGCUGCGAAGCCUCUCUUUUCGCAGUUUCAAUUUUACUUUGUACAUGCACAUUUCUCAAUAAAAACUUUUAUUGCAAUUUUAUGAAUCAAGUUUAGGUUUCAAAUCAAUUAUAAAACCAUGACAAAACAUAAACAUUCCUUGAGAUUGGUUACUGUUUCCCUGUGGAGAGGCUUGGGAAUUUUCAAAAGGGUAUAGACAAGGUUGAAAACCACUGAAUUAGACUAACCGAAAUAGAUAAACCGAAAAAUGUGGCCGGUGGUGUUGGUGGGUGCUACGUGCGUCGAGCGUCGUCCAUAUCGGCCAGUUUUUCAAACCUCAGGGUGUGUGUUUUUCAUCAGCGAGGAGGCAGCUCAGAAACGAGGACACAUAUGGGAUCAGCAACCGGUGCGGGAAGGUUUUGCUGCUAGCUAAUGGUGGAAAUAUUUCAAUUAGCACACCCCGAACGGCCAAAUGUAUGUAGAACGAAAGCAACAACUAACUGACCGACGACGUCGUUUGCCUUGAGUGCGAACCGAAAUGACCGAAUGAUGCCUUCGGAGAGAUGCUGCUGGGUAGGUAUAUGUAGGAGGGUGCUUGGGAAUUUUAUUUAUUUUUUUGGCAAUGAAGUAAACGUUUGGCACUGCAACGCGGGAUUUCAUUGCUGCAGGUUUGUGCACAUCUGCUGGAAAAAUAGGAGGAAAGAAAAAUAUUUUCAUCCGGUGAACGCUAAUGAGGUGGAAUCGAGCUUAGAAUGGAAUAUAGCAGAUCUAUGUGGUUGCAGGAUUAUGCAUGAACAAUAUUUUAAGUCUUAAGAAAAGUAUUGCAAAACAGAAUUGCAUUGUUAGAUUUGACCUUUAAGUUAAGUUUUAAUAAACAUUUUUCAUUGAAA